AAUAUUAUUAUUGUUCUUUUUUUUUUUUUUUUGUUUUAAAUUUAUUUUAAAUGCCACGAAUGCGUGGAAUAUGAACGACUAGAGUACAGAUAGUUCGUGGACAUUAUUAAUAUUAUUAUUAUUAUUAUAUAUAAUAUUAUUAUUAUUAUUCUUUUUUCUUUUUUUUUUUACCAGAAAAUUCGAAACCGAUCUGUUUUAACGAUUAAGAGAGAAUUUGCGAGGAUUUAAUGACGCAGCGUUAAACGAACCUUGGAACCUUGAAGAGGAAGAGAACCAUUUCCGAAACGAAACGCCGCGAGCGACGAGCGGAAACUUUCGCUCGGUAUUUUCUAGUCUGCCUUGCGUUUCAAUCGAAAAGACACAGUCUGCUUCCGUCCUUGGUUACCACUUCCUGCAGCCCCCGUCGACUUAUAUGGGACGAAAGUUUCGCUCGUCCGAAUAGAGAAAGAGAGAGAGAGAGAGAGAGA